rnacentral:tRNA from 1 species
GCUCUUGUAGCUCAGUGGUAGAGCACUCCCUUGGUAAGGGAGAGGUCAAGGGUUCAAAUCCCUUCAAGAGCUCCA